UACGGGAGGCAGCAGUGGGGAAUAUUGCACAAUGGGCGAAAGCCUGAUGCAGCUAUGCCGCGUGUAUGAAGAAGGCCUUAGGGUUGUAAAGUACUUUCAUCGGGGAGGAAAAAACAAAACUAAUAAUUUUAUUUCUUGACGUUACCCGAAAAAGAAGCACCGGCUAACUCCGUGCCAGCAGCCGCGGUAAUACGGAGGGUGCUAGCGUUAAUCAGAAUUACUGGGCGUAAAGAGCACGUAGGUGGUUUUUUUAAAGUCAGAUGUGAAAUCCCUGGGCUUAACCUAGGAACUGCAUUUUGAAACUGAAAUACUAGAGUAUCGUAGAGGGAGGUAGAAUUCUAGGUGUAGCGGUGAAAUGCGUAGAUAUCUGGAGGAAUACCUGUGGCGAAAGCGGCCUCCUAAACGAAUACUGACACUGAGGGUGCGAAAGCGUGGGGAGCAAACAGGGAUUAGAUACC
rnacentral:rRNA from 1 species